UUUAAAUAAUUUAAAAAUUAACGGUCCAAAAAAUAAAUUACAAGAUACGUUAUUUUCAAAACUUGAAAUCAAAUCCAUACAUAUUGACAUGAACCUCUUCUACCGAAAUUUUGGAGUUAGAUUCCCAUCGAAAGGGUCCAUAGAAAUAUUUGACAUAAAUUUCAAUAACUUUCAGGAAGUGAGUUAGUUUUCGAGGAAGCUGCAUCUGAGAAGACGCAGUGGGUUUUAUAGAAAAGGCUUUAAAGAUCCUUUUUCCUAGUAUCCGGUCACCCUAUUAUGGUCGGCCACGUAUACAGCAGCGCAGCGAAAGUGACGGCCACUUGUCUGAAAACCGGACCGGGAUACCGCCUCCCACUUUGUGGUUUCGCUCGUCUUAUCUGGGGAUCUGGAAUGUUUGAUUGAUAGAGACUGCUGAAUUAGUAUCUGGUUCGUCGUUAUGGCCGAUGUGUGGCUCACGAUGUAGCUUGGACAGUGGUCGGUAAGAUUCUGGAGAGGCCCUUGGAUCUAAGAUCUGGACCGUCAAUUGGGAUGUUGCGACACGUGUCCUGUUGAAAAUAAUGGACUUUGACGAUCUGAGUGGUGGGUGGGCCCAGGUAUGGAAGGCGGCGUCGUUUUCGGUAGUUGAGAGUUUGUUUUCUUGAUUUGGUGUAGAGGUUGGGUGGACGGUGAGAGAGACGUGUGCCACGCCAAUAAUACAAGAACGUUUUGAGUUUCGGCAAGUUUUCGGUGUAUAUGGUUUCGAAAGUUUUAAAGUUUCGGAUGAAUCAUACUUUUUUAUUGAAUUUCGGUGAGGUUUUCACCGUCGGUUAGA